UACGUAGGGGGCUAGCGUUGUCCGGAAUCAUUGGGCGUAAAGAGCGUGUAGGCGGCCAGGUAGGUCUGGUGUGAAAACUCGAGGCUUAACCUCGAGAUGUCGGCGGAAACCAUCUGGCUAGAGUCCGGAAGAGAAGAAUGGAAUUCCCGGUGUAGCGGUGAAAUGCGCAGAUAUCGGGAAGAACACCCGUGGCGAAGGCGGUUCUCUGGGACGGUACUGACGCUGAGACGCGAAAGCGUGGGGAGCGAACAGG
rnacentral:rRNA from 1 species